GACGAACGCUGGCGGCGUGCCUAAUACAUGCAAGUAGAACGAGUUGCGAACGGGUGAGUAACGCGUGGUAACCUGCCUGGUAGCGGGGGAUAACUAUUGGAAACGAUAGCUAAUACCGCAUACUACCAGAUGGACCUGUGUUGUAUUAGCUAGUUGGUGGGGUAACGGCUCACCUAGUCGACGAUCCCUAGCUGGUCUGAGAGGAUGACCAGCCACCCUGAAACUGAGACACGGUCCAGACUCCUACGAGAGGCAGCAGUGGGGAAUAUUGCACAAUGGGCGCAAACCUGAUGCAGCCAUGCCGCGUGUAUGAAGAAGGCCUUCGGGUUGUAAAGUACUUUCAGCGGGGAGGCGUUGCCCACAGAAGAAGCACCGGCUAACUCCGUGCCAGCAGCCGCGGUAAUUC
rnacentral:rRNA from 1 species